rnacentral:lncRNA from 1 species
CCCGGAUCCGGCCUAAACCAGCGCCUGCCGGGUCAAGACCAGUGAGGAGCCCGUGGAGAAAGGAGCGGGAGUGGGGGCGCGAGGGCGAGCGGGGACCGAGAGCCCCGGGGCGAGAAGCCAUUUGUCCGGAUGGGCAGAGGAGACUGGCGAGGUGUAAACGGUGAGGCCGGCGUGAGAGGACAGCAGUCGCCUUUGAGGUGCAGAUUUUCAUGAAAAUCCCCCAAAUUCACAAACCAAAGCAACGCACACCUGUAUCCUAUAUUUCAAGGGUAUCUUUUUCAUAAGAGCUCAAAGAGCUGUCGGGUGGAUUAUCUCAUUUAUCUUCCCAAUAUUCUUCCAAAGGAGUUUGGGCCAGUCAUUAUUAUCCUCAAAGGAGGUGUAACUGUCUCCCAGACAGCCACGGCCUCGCAGGGGGGCCCAUGAAAGGCGAAGGCGUG